rnacentral:rRNA from 1 species
GNGCAAUUACAGCGAANCUGCGAAUGGCUCAUUAUAUAAGUUAUCGUUUAUUUGAUAGUACCUUACUACAUGGAUAACCGUGGUAAUUCUAGAGCUAAUACAUGCUGAAAAUCCCGACUUCGGAAGGGAUGUAUUUAUUAGAUUCAAAACCAAUGCCCUUCGGGGCUCCAAUGGUGAUUCAUGAUAACUUCUCGAAUCGCACGGCCCCGCGCCGGCGAUGGUUCAUUCAAAUUUCUUCCCUAUCAACUUUCGAUGCUACGGUAGUGUCCUAGCAUGGUUGCAACGGGUAACGGGG